AAAUGAAAAGAGGCUUGCUCAUGACUUGGAAGCGGUGGGCUGAGGCCUCCCAAGACCAUCUGGCUUGUUCCAUUGCCAGCCAGAGUGGAGGCGACAUUCACACGAACCCAGGAGCUGCAGGGGCGCGUGAGCUACAGCUGCCUUGUGGCAUCCAAGGAGUGCGCACUUUCUUUCUUUUUUUUUUAGACUAGUCUCACUCUGUUGCCCAGGCUGGAGUGCAGUGGCGCGAUCUCAGCUUACUUCAGCCUCCGCCUCCCGGUUUCAAGUGAAUUCUCCAGCCUCAACUUCACAAGUAGCUGGGAUUACAGCCACUUUUUAUCUUCUCUCCUGCAAUCCAACCCACAUAAUUUCCAUGAAGAAAGCGGAGUGGUGUCAUUUUACAACAAGAAAACUGAGUUAAGAAUAAGUCCAAUCAAUUGCUAGGUGUUGAGACUGAAAUGGAAGUCUCUUAGUACUCCACCCAAGGAUUUUCAUAUUAAACAAUUAUCU
rnacentral:lncRNA from 10 species